UUUUCUUAAAACCUAGUUUUAUCAGACCUUCGUUUUUAAAACCUGAUUUGCAUGUUUGGAUGACAAGGCAAAAACUAGGCUUUCACUUUUCAAAACCUGGUUUGUGUUUGGAUGACAAGAAAUGAGUUUCUAAUAAUACUUGCAAAAAAAAAAAAAAAAUCCAUGCACUUUUGUUAUAGCUAUAACAUUAAGAGCAUUCUCAAAUGUAAAUUUUCAUUAUCUGUCUACAGUCUCAACACAUUGGACAGCCUUACACUAUGUCAUCUUGUGUUACCAAAACUGAGUUUUGAACGAAAAAUCUGGGUCCAGGUUGUUCAUCACUACAUCACAACUUAAUUUUGUGAAACCCAGUUUUCAUGUCUUCCAAACACCGUCAAAAACUUGGUUUUGGAGGUGUCAUCGAAACAGCUUCUAUGAGUUUACCGUGGAAAGGGGAAGGCAGGGAAUUAGAAAGAGCUUGAAGGUGUCUGGCAGAUUCCAGCAUUCUGAAAUCGGGCAUGGUACUGAACAUGCACAGGCGCUGUUUGACGAAAUGCUUGAAAGGGAUGUCGCACAUGGGGCCUAAGGAAGAGGAUGAGGAGACGUUGCUGCCCGCCUGCCCCUCAUUCGGCCCCGCUUGGCGAUGGAGCAAGGGAUGUAGGUUCUGCUACGUGGACUCGCUCUCAUUGUACAACCCUACUUUGAAACUCAUUAAUAAAUGACUUCCAAUAUGAAAGAGAA